AUUGAACGCUGGCGGCAGGCCUAACACAUGCAAGUCGAACGAGUGGCGGACGGGUGAGUAAUGACUGGGAAACUGCGAGAUGGAGGGGGAUAACUACUGGAAACGGUAGCUAAUACCGCAUACCAUCGGAUGUGCCCAGAUGGGAUGAGCUAGUAGGUGGGGUAACGGCUCACCUAGGCGAGGAUCCCUAGCUGGUUUGAGAGGAUGACCAUCCACACUGGAACUGAGACACGGUCCAGACUCCUACGUGAGGAAGCAGUGGGUAAUAUUGGACAAUGGGCGAAAGCCUGAUGCAGCCAUGCCGCGUGUAUGAAGAAGGCCUUCGGGUUGUAAAGUACUUUCAGCGAGGAGGCGUUACUCGCAGAAUAAGCACCGGCUAACUCCGUGCCAGCAGCCGCGGUAAUAC
rnacentral:rRNA from 1 species